rnacentral:rRNA from 1 species
AUUGAACGCUGGCGGCAUGCCUUACACAUGCAAGUCGAACGGUAACAGGUCUUCGGACGCUGACGAGUGGCGAACGGGUGAGUAAUACAUCGGAACGUGCCUAGUAGUGGGGGAUAACUACUCGAAAGAGUGGCUAAUACCGCAUGAGAUCUACGGAUGAAAGCAGGGGAUCGCAAGACCUUGUGCUACUAGAGCGGCCGAUGGCAGAUUAGGUAGUUGGUGGGAUAAAAGCUUACCAAGCCGACGAUCUGUAGCUGGUCUGAGAGGACGAUCAGCCACACUGGGACUGAGGCACGGCCCAGACUCCUACGGGAGGCAGCAGUGGGGAAUUUUGGACAAUGGGCGAAAGCCUGAUCCAGCAAUGCCGCGUGCAGGAUGAAGGCCUUCGGGUUGUAAACUGCUUUUGUACGGAACGAAAAGCCCCGGGUUAAUACCCUGGGGUCAUGACGGUACCGUAAGAAUAAGCACCGGCUAACUACGUGCCAGCCGCCGCAGUAA